ACAGCUAUAUCAUGUUGAAACACCAGUUCCUGUAUGAUCACCAAAGCUAAGCAAUGUUGAUCAUGGUCAGUACCUAGAUGGGUGAUUGCUUGAGAAUACCAGGUAUUGUAAU